rnacentral:rRNA from 1 species
AUACGGAGGGUGCGAGCGUUAAUCGGGAUUACUGGGCGUAAAGGGUGCGUAGGCGGCUUGAUAAGUCGGAUGUGAAAGCCCCGGGCUUAACCUGGGAAUUGCAUUCGAUACUGUCAGGCUAGAGUAUGUCAGAGGUUGGCGGAAUUCCUGGUGUAGCGGUGAAAUGCGUAGAUAUCAGGAGGAACACCAGUGGCGAAGGCGGCUAACUGGGGCAAUACUGACGCUGAGGCACGAAAGCGUGGGGAGCAAACAGGAUUAGAAACCCCUGUAGUCC